rnacentral:rRNA from 1 species
UACGGGGGGGGCAAGCGUUGUUCGGAAUUACUGGGCGUAAAGGGCUCGUAGGUGGCCAACUAAGUCAUACGUGAAAUCCCUCGGCUUAACCGGGGAACUGCGUCUGAUACUGGAUGGCUUGAGAUUGGGAGAGGGAUGCGGAAUUCCAGGUGUAGCGGUGAAAUGCGUAGAUAUCUGGAGGAACACCGGUGGCGAAGGCGGCAUCCUGGACCAACACUGACGCUGAGGAGCGAAAGCCAGGGGAGCAAACGGG